AACGUAGUCGGAAACAGAUUUAAGCCAAGUUUGCGACGUUGCAUCUGUUUGCCAGUACCGUGAGAAAAUGCCGUUACCGAGGAGGUCUUGAUGCUAAAACAAACUGCUUUUUGUCAUUAAUGAAGUGGUCUGGACACGAAAACAAACUCUGGAGCUGCUUUUUGUUGUUAAUGAAGAGGUCUGGGUGCUAAAACAAGAAAACAAAGUUGCUUUUUUGCCGAACAGGAGUGAGACUGGACGCUGAACACACCUGCGGAGUGGAGGUUUACUGGUUCAGCUGCUGCAGCCUGGACAGAAACACCAGCUCUCACCUUACAAACCAAACAGAUGUUACCACUUCGUCCACUUCUACAAUGAAGAAGUUUUUUGACACCAGGCCUGACACUGAGGCCUCCAGGAUUCACACUUCAAUCAUUAAACCACAGAGAGAAGAGACAGAUGUGAAGACAUUUCCAGAAGGUCUUGAGCUGUUCUCCUCCUCCUGCAGAGACAAGAACGUAUUAAUCACAGAGACUGAUCAGUAAUGCAAAAUAUUUUUACAACAUACUAUUUGAAGGUUUUAUGCCAAACUAUACUUAAUGAUUUUUGACACCUUACUAUAUAGUAUAGAAACUAUUUCAAGUACACAGUGUUUGUGGGUUAGGUUAGAUUUUCAUUUUGGUAUUUUUCUGUUUCAAACAGUGCAAUAUUAGUACUCAAAUCCAAUCUAUUACUGUGUACAUAGUCCAGUUUACUGUUCAUAUUGUUGAGAAUUUUUAUAUAUUGUAUUGUUUUAUAUAAUGCCC